rnacentral:SRP_RNA from 1 species
GCCAGAUGCAGUGGCAGGUACCUAUAGUCCCAGCUACUCGGGAGGCUGAGGUAGGAAGAUCGCUUGAGCCCAGGAGCUCUGGGCUGUAGUGUGCUAUGCCAAUUGGGUGUCCACACUAAGUUCAGCAUCAAUAUAGUGACCUCCUGGGAGCGGGGGACCACCAGGUUUGCCUAAGGAGGGGUGAACCGGCCCAGGUCGGAAAUGGAGCAGGUCAAAACUCCCAUGCUGAUCAGUAGUGGGACUGCGCCUGUAAACAGCCACUGCACUCCAGCCUGGGCAACAUAGCAAGACCCCGUGUUAA